rnacentral:rRNA from 13 species
UGAGUAAGACUACCCGCCGAAUUUAAGCAUAUAAUUAAGCGGAGGAAAAGAAACUAACAAGGAUUCCUUUAGUAACGGCGAGUGAAACAGGAUGAGCUCACCUAUAAUCGGCAAUUUUUUGCCGAGUUGUGGUCUGUAGAAGCAUUGUCGGUCGAGGUUCCGGGCUAAGUCUCUUGGAAAAGAGCAGCUGAGAGGGUGACACUCCCGUUCUUGCCUGGGAUCUGCGAUCAUAGCACAUGCCUUCAACGAGUCGAGUUGCUUGGGAUUGCAGCUCAAAUGCGUGGUAUACUCCAUGUAAAGCUAAAUAUAGGUAGGAAACCGAUAGCGCACAAGUACUGUGAAGGAAAGAUGCAAAGAACUUUGAAAAGAGAGUUAAAGAGUACCUGAAAUUGCUGAAAGGGAAGCGAAGGAAACCAGUGCCAAAGCCGUGUCAUACUUUCUCUGCUGCUUGCGGUAGGGACGCUGUGGCAUGGCGUCGGGUCAGCAUCGGCUUUGUGCUUGGGGUAGAUGUUUGGUUGGUAGACGGCCACUUCGGUGGUGAGUGCCCUCCAUUCUUAUCCUGGGUUGGGCCGAGGACAGUCAUUAUGUGCUCGUGAUGCUGGCAAAAUGGUUUUCUUUACCCCGUCUUGGAACACGGACCAAGG